GUGGGGAAUUUUGGACAAUGGGCGCAAGCCUGAUCCAGCAAUGCCGCGUGCAGGAAGAAGGCCUUCGGGUUGUAAACUGCUUUUGUACGGAACGAAACGGUCCGGGUUAAUACCCUGGGCUAAUGACGGUACCGUAAGAAUAAGCACCGGCUAACUACGUGCCAGCAGCCGCGGUAAUACGUAGGGUGCAAGCGUUAAUUGGAAUUACUGGGCGUAAAGCGUGCGCAGGCGGUUUUGUAAGACAGGCGUGAAAUCCCCGGGCUCAACCUGGGAAUUGCGCUUGUGACUGCAAGGCUGGAGUGCGGCAGAGGGGGAUGGAAUUCCGCGUGUAGCAGUGAAAUGCGUAGAUAUGCGGAGGAACACCGAUGGCGAAGGCAAUCCCCUGGGCCUGCACUGACGCUCAUGCACGAAAGCGUGGGGAGCAAACAGGAUUAGAAACCCUGGUAGUCC
rnacentral:rRNA from 1 species